rnacentral:rRNA from 1 species
UACGGGGGGGGCAAGCGUUGUUCGGAAUUACUGGGCGUAAAGGGCUCGUAGGCGGCCAACUAAGUCCGACGUGAAAUCCCCAGGCUUAACCUGGGAACUGCGUCGGAUACUGGAUGGCUUGAAUUCGGGAGAGGGAUGCAGAAUUCCAGGUGUAGCGGUGAAAUGCGUAGAUAUCGGGAGGAACACCGGUGGCGAAGGCGGCGACCUGGGUCGAGACUGACGCUGAGGCGCGAAAGCGUGGGGAGCAAACAGG